rnacentral:rRNA from 1 species
UCUGAGGCCAUACCACCCUGGGCACACCCAAUCUCAUUUGCGCUCAGAAGCUAAGCAGCGUUGGAUGUGGUUGGCACUCAGAU